rnacentral:rRNA from 1 species
UCGGUAAGUCCCAUAACGAGCGCAACCCUAUCAUUAGUUGCCAUCAGGUCAAGCUGGGGACUCUAAUGAAACUGCCUACGCAAGUAGUGAGGAAGGUGGGGAUGACGUCAAAUCAGCACGGCCCUUACGUCCAGGGCUACACACGUGCUACAAUGGCCGGUACAAAGGGCAGCUACCUGGUGACAGGAUGCUAAUCUCAAAAGCCGGUCUCAGUUCGGAUCGGAGUCUGCAACCCGACUCCGUGAGGCUGGAAUCGCUAGUAAUCGCGCAUCAGCCAUGGCGCGGUGAAUACGUUCCCGGGCCUU